UGCUUUUCUUGAGUACCGCCCAGAGCAAUAGUGCAGUGAUACGACAUGAUUUUUUUUUUUUUGUACUGUUGUAACAGAUUGUAUUUUUGUAUACUUGUAAAUUUUACCAUUCGCAACCAAACUCCAGUUUAGACACCAAAAAAGAAAUGUCCAGUUUGAUUGCUGGGUGUUAAAAUCAACAAUUAAUGUUCAAAAGUUUGGGGUCAGUAUGAUUAUGUUAUGUAAAGUCGCACAUGUUCAUCAAGGCUGAAUUUAUUUGAUCAAAAAUACAGUAAAAAUAAAAUAGCAGUAAUGUGAAAUAUUAUUACAGUUUAAUAUAACUGUUUUAUAUUUUAAUAUAUUUUAACACUUAAUUAUUCCUGUGAUGCAAAGCUGAAUUUUCUUCAUCAUUACUCCAGUCUUCAGUGUCACAUGUUCCUUCAGAAAUCAUUCUAAUAUAAUGAUUUUGUGAUAUUUUUUUAUUAUUAUCAACGUUUGAAAUAGUUAAUAUUUUUUUAGGAAACAUUGAUGCAUUUUCCCCCCCCAGAUUCUUUGAUUAAUAAAAAAGUUCAAAAGAAUAGUAACUAUUUUUAAAUUUAAUUAUUUUAUGGUCACCAUGUCCAGUUUAAUGAAUCCUCGCUGAAUAAAAGUAUUAAUUUCUUUAAAAAACAAAUCAUACUGACCCAAAAGCUAAACUGUAGUGUAUGUUAAAAUAUAAUGCUGUAGUUUGAUUUUUAAUUGUUCAUUUGUGUUAUCUUCAGUGCAUUGAUUGCUGUUGCUCUGGUCUGUUUGGUUUCCUGCUGCUUUAUGAAUUAGUGCGUGUAAAUUAAUCCUCAUAAUACAGUCACUUAAGGUUAAAGGAUGAACUCCCAUGAUAUACAUAUUAAUUAUCGGAUGACAUCUAUAUUCAUGAGAAAAAAAAAUCAUCUAUAAAUGUGUUGUCUGUAGUUUGUGAGCAGGUUAGAGUACUGUAAAGUUUUCCCUGACAUGUUUGGGGUGAAAGGUCAUUGGUAAGUGUGUCGUCUGUGUCUCGCUGGCCAAUGAAAUCGUAGCACUUUCUGUUUAACGUGAACAUUUUGUUUUGUGAAUAUCAAAUCAGUAUGACUCCUGAAAUGACAAACAAAUACAAUUUUGUGAACGAUGCAGCCGAAGGGGCACCGAUUUAAAAAUAAAUAAAUACUGUAUAACCAGAAAUGUUCUAGAUGGAGGCUGUAGCACAUAACCUCUUUUAUUACUUGCUUUCAUAUUUCUGCUUUUCUUUUCAUGUUGGAGUCAUUUGUAAAAUAUGUCUUAAUAUUGCAUAACUGAACAUUCUUCUGCAACUCCUGUUUUUCUUUUUGCUCUUCGUUUCUGCCCUUUUAUCUCUUCUCUCCUCCUAAACAGAAAAGAAUCAUGACAAUAAAUGAAACGUGACUGAAGUA